CUCAUCAAUUUGGAAGGCUAAGUUUUAGGUUGUCUGUUAGUAUCCAGAAGUUUUGUUUGAAACGCCUCACGCAGGGGCUCCAAAAUAUAUGUAGUGAUUUGAAAUGAGCCUCAUACGGUCGCACCAAAAUAUAUGUAGUGAUUUGAAAUGAGCCUCAUACGGUCGCACCAAAAUAUAUGUAGCGAUUUGAAAUGAGCCUCACAAGGCCGCACCAAAAUAAUACUUGGCGAUUGGAAUUUAUAAUAAAUGUCUGAAGAUUAAUAAUCUCAAAUUAUGACAUUUAUGCACUCGUUGAAAGGGGC